GGGCAAGUCGCCAGCAAAACCACGUCUCCUCGCCUCCUCACUCUUUCGAGGCGGCAGAUCGCACCGGUGAACCGCCGGGGACAGGCGCACCUCCUCUCGGCGCGAAGGCAAGGAAUUUCGUGAUUGAUGCCUUGAUUUCGAGAAAAGUUUUCUCGGCAAUGAUGUCAAGCCAUGAGGAGUCGAAAAUGGAUUUUACCGAGGCGUCAUUACUGUUGGAAACGAAUAUUUUGGCAAUGUAACUCGAUGUAUUGAUCGGUGCAUAGCGCACGUAUAUAUGGAGUACAAGGUGGGCCACAACCUCAA